GAUCCUGGCUCAGGACGAACGCUGGCGGCGCGCCUAACACAUGCAAGUCGAACGAGAGAGAAGGAGCUUGCUUCUUCGAUCGAGUGGCGAACGGGUGAGUAACGCGUGAGGAACCUACCUCAAAGAGGGGGACAACAGUUGGAAACGACUUCUAAUAUCGCAUAAGCCCACGGGUCGGCAUCGACCUGAGGGAAAAGGAGCAAUCCGCUUUGAGAUGGCCUCGCGUCCGAUUAGCUAGUUGGUGAGG
rnacentral:rRNA from 1 species